CCCCACAGCCAUAUCACCCUAGCUAAGCAGGGCUGGGCAUGGUCAGUACCUGGAUGGGAGACCACUAGGGAACACUAGGUUGCUGUUGGAA
rfam:Danio rerio chromosome 14 genomic contig CTG6296, GRCz11 reference primary assembly.